rnacentral:rRNA from 1 species
UAAGGAAUAUUGGUCAAUGGACGCAAGUCUGAACCAGCCAUGCCGCGUGAAGGAUUAAGGCCCUCUGGGUUGUAAACUUCUUUUAUAGGGGAAGAAAUGUGACGGUUCUCCGUCACUUGACGGUACCCUGGGAAUAAGCCCCGGCUAACUACGUGCCAGCAGCCGCGGUAAUACGUAGGGGGCAAGCGUUGUCCGGAUUUACUGGGUGUAAAGGGCGCGCAGGCGGGAUAAAAAGUCAGUGGUGAAAUCCUACAGCUUAACUGUAGAACUGCCUUUGAUACUUUUAUUCUUGAGUUCGGGAGAGAGAGACGGAAUUCCAGGUGUAGUGGUGAAAUACGUAGAUAUCUGGAAGAACACCAGUUGCGAAGGCGGUCUCUUGGUCCGACACUGACGCUGAGGCGCGAAAGCGUGGGGAGCAAACA